rnacentral:rRNA from 1 species
AUGCACGCUGGCGGCGUGCCUCAUCCCUGCAAGUCGCGCGCACAGACGAGGAGCUUGCUCCUCUGACGUUAGCAGCGGACGGGUGAGUAACACGUGGAUAACCUACCUAUAAGACUGGGAUAACUUCGGGAAACCGGAGCUAAUACCGGAUAAUAUAUUGAACCGCAUGGUUCAAUAGUGAAAGACGGUUUUGCUGUCACUUAUAGAUGGAUCCGCGCCGCAUUAGCUAGUUGGUAAGGUAACGGCUUACCAAGGCAACGAUGCGUAGCCGACCUGAGAGGGUGAUCGGCCACACUGGAACUGAGACACGGUCCAGACUCCUACGGGAGGCAGCAGUAGGGAAUCUUCCGCAAUGGGCGAAAGCCUGACGGAGCAACGCCGCGUGAGUGAUGAAGGUCUUCGGAUCGUAAAACUCUGUUAUUAGGGAAGAACAAAUGUGUAAGUAACUAUGCACGUCUUGACGGUACCUAAUCAGAAAGCCACGGCUAACUACGUG